CUUGCAGGCUCUAGCGGCGCCGCGAGACCCUUCCGGGAAGCCUGAGUGCCCGCGUGUGCCCUAGUAACCUUUGUAAAUAGAAAACGAGGGUUGCCUCUGUGACCCCGACAUUGCUGAGAAAAGCAAACUCAGAAAGCCUGGCUUUAGGGGAUGGCAGAAAGAUUAGAGCAGCCAUUCUCAAAGUGUGGUCCUGAGGUCCUGCUAGACAUGUUCCACUUUCCGUCUCCAAGAGUUUGAACUCCUUUAAUAGAUUAUACUUUCAGUUCAACAACUGAAGCUCUUGAGAUUCUAGUUGUGGUGGAAAGGAUUAAGCCUCCUGGAUGAAAACAACAGCUACAAUUUGAACUAAACUGCAGCACCGUUUUAACCCAGCCAGUGUGACUUAUCACCAGUCCCAUCAUGCCUCCUGAUGUGAUGUCCUAAGGGGAGAUUCUUGCUCAUCCAUCAACUCAAGAGAUCAAGGCUCUAACUCCUCAUAAAUAUGGAGGAGAUCUGAGAAGGGCAAUCAACCACCUCAGGCCUCCUAAAAUAUCAGCACUUUGAAUCUGGGUAUGGAAGUUACCCAAUAAGAAGAUCAUAGAAAAUAAUUGCUUGUUAGUACUCAAAGUGAAAGACACCCCCACUUUUCCCUAUGGCCUCUGGGUACAUGUAACAGAUUUCAAAGUUCAGGAUCCAGCUUACCAGUCUUUGUACCGUUUGCAAACUGGCAAUUAAGUGUUAAGAGAGAAUUCAAGAAAAUAGAGGAUACUUCAAAGAGGCAAAUGCAAGAGAGUAAACUCCACCCAAACAGCCUCAAUUUUGUCUAAGAAACAAGGAGAAGCCUUAAGUUUUUGGCCUGGUGUACAUGGUAUUUGGCAGAGUUUGCUGGCUACAACAAAGGUUAUUGCCUGAGAACUCAUUCUGGAAGUAGAGUACUUGGGGGUGAGUCAUUUCUCAUGCAAGGAUGAUAGAGUUAGAAGCAGGCAAGAAGAUUAAAGGGGGCCCAUGACCUUAAAACCGGCAACAUUGGAACACAUUAAAGCGUGAUUCACUGACUCAACCUCCUGCGAGACCACUUUCAAUAUGAUGGACUGGACCUCCAAACUCUGAACCCAAAUAAACCCUUCCUUUGAUCCUUAACUUGCUUUUGUCAGG